UACGGGGGGGGUAAGCGUUGUUCGGAAUUACUGGGCGUAAAGGGCUCGUAGGCGGCCAACUAAGUCAGACGUGAAAUCCCUCAGCUUAACUGGGGAACUGCGUCUGAUACUGGAUGGCUUGGAUCCGGAAGAGGGAUGCGGAAUUCCAGGUGUAGCGGUGAAAUGCGUAGAUAUCUGGAGGAACACCGGUGGCGAAGGCGGCAUCCUGGGCCGGCAUUGACGCUGAGGAGCGAAAGCCAGGGGAACAAACGGG
rnacentral:rRNA from 1 species